UGCGCAGGCGGAAAAGUAAGUCAGUGGUGAAAUCUCUCGGCUCAACCGAGAAACUGCCAUUGAUACUGCUUAUCUAGAGUUUAGUUGAAGUGGGCGGGAUGUAGCAUGUAGCGGUGAAAUGCAUAGAGAUGCUACAGAACACCGAUUGCGAAGGCAGCUCACUAAGCUAAAACUGACGCUCAGGCACGAAAGCGUGGGGAUCAAACAGGAUUAGAUACCCUGGUAGUCC
rnacentral:rRNA from 1 species